UACGUAGGGGGCAAGCGUUGUCCGGAAUCAUUGGGCGUAAAGCGCGUGUAGGCGGUUCGGUAAGUCUGCUGUGAAAGUCCAGGGCUCAACCCUGGGAUGCCGGUGGAUACUGUCGGACUAGAGUACGGAAGAGGCGAGUGGAAUUCCUGGUGUAGCGGUGAAAUGCGCAGAUAUCAGGAGGAACACCGGUGGCGAAGGCGGGUCUCUGGGCAGUAACUGACGCUGAGAAGCGAAAGCAUGGGGAGCGAACAGG
rnacentral:rRNA from 1 species